AUGGUUUCUUGUCAACUUGUUAGCUAUUGUGAGCUGAAUCUUUUAAAUGUUAUUACUAUCUUGCCUCUUGCCUCCAACAGGAUUCACUAAAUAAUAAACUUAGACUAGUCAACGCUCUUUUCAUCAAUGUUUAUCUAAGCUCUCUUGUAGCAAAUGAGAUAUUAUACUUGAACACCUUUAUUUGAUGUAAACAAGUGGGUCCAGUAAUGUGUUCAUUUAUGCAUACAUACAACAAGUGUCUAAUUUUGCUUCAACUCCUUCAGCUUUAAACUUUCUCAUGAAUUUAUCUAAUCCAACUAAACAAUCUAAAAAAAAAUCAGAGUUUACCAAACACACAGAUAGUCUUCAAGCUGACCUACGCAGUGAUUUUUAAGUGCUACGAUAAAAUGCUCUGACAGUAUAUCUAAAAAAUUCCGAUUUAUUCAUGGAAUUGGGAUCACAACUAUAUAAUUUCAAGGCCCAUAAUGUCUCUAGAAGCGAUUACUGAGAUCGCCCGGAGGCAUUUAAAAUUACAGAAACGUCUUGGACAUUUGAUGAAGCAGAUCUCACUUGUUGACUGUGGUGUCCGGAUGGGUUUUAUAUGUGGACCACCCCAGCCGCAUUUUUCAGACCUACUGAAACUAAUGCAUCAGUUACAUCUUGAAAAGUAUAUUAAUGAAGGAUGCACCGUCGUCGGUUUCAAUGAAGAAAUUUGUAUCGUAAACAUACCAAAGAUUCUUGAUUCAUUUAAGGGGAAACUCCCGAUAUUCAUCAAUGUUUCUGGUGAACUUGAAAAACCAGUCAUUUUGGAAACUUCUUCUCCCAGGAUGCAGCAAUUCCUCAGUGAAUUAAGAGAAAAAAUCAGUAAUAUUGAAGAGAAUCGCAUAGAAUUCUCUUCUUGCGUAAGUCUUUCUGCUGUUUUGGGCUUUCUUGGAGGAUACCCAAUCAUCUAUUGGUGCGAAUCCGAUGAUAAUUGUCUGUCUAUGGUUCCAUUGAAAAAACUCCGAGCAUCCAUGCAUAGUGAAGAAAUCCUGUCGUUCACAGUUCCUGAAAUAUUAUCAAAAACUCCAAAAAUUCAUUAUAGAUUGCGGUUAUGGAAAAGUUUAAUGGAAGAAAAUGGACUUUCUAUCCAAGAAAGUUAUCAUCGAGAGUUGACUGUUUCACUCUAACAAUUCAUGUAACUUUUAUUAGUUUUUGAUAGUCUAUAAUUCAUUUUUUAACAUUAUAUCAUUUUAGACUUGAAAGCUUUGCUGAUUCUUUCAAUUGCAUUGUAAGAAUGCAACAGAUCAGCCGAUAAGUCUACACAUUUGUAACGUUGGCACUUCCAGAUGUUCAUUGACAAAAUUCUUAAUACAACAUAUAAUUAAUGUACGAAUGAAAAGAUUGAGUUUAGGCACUGGAACUUGGCUGAUGGCUCUUUAUUCCAAGCAUUUCGGAGACGUGCGAAAGGUGUAAUGUAUCAAAUAUCAUGCCGGACAUUGCUCGAAAUGUUUUCAAAGCCAAUGGGAUGACCCGGUAUACCUAGGAGGUCAACUUUUUAAAAUCAUGAUCAGCAAGUCUCAUGGUUAUGGUAGAUCACUUAAGAAAGUAAUCAUUACACAUGUAUUGAAGUGAUAAAAAUAAAUUGAAAAUUAAAAAGAUUAAA